GCAUUCAUUUCAGCAGUACAUAUGCUAAAGUUGGAACCGUACAGAGAAUCAGCACUGUCCCUGCUUAAGGAUGACAUGCAAAUUUGUGAAGUGUUUCUUAUUUUU
ensembl:snRNA U6 U6 spliceosomal RNA